rnacentral:rRNA from 1 species
UCCGUAGGCGGUGUGGCAAGUCGGAAGUGAAAUCUCUGGGCUUAACUCAGAGGCUGCUUCCGAAACUGCCGUGCUAGAGUGCGAGAGAGGCAAGUGGAAUUGCGGGUGUAGCGGUGAAAUGCGUAGAUAUCCGCAGGAACAUCCGAGGCGAAAGCGGCUUGCUGGAUCGCAACUGACGCUGAGGGACGAAAGCUAGGGGAGCAAACAGGAUUAGAUACCCUGGUAGUCCUAGCCCUAAACCAUCAGGACUUAGGGUUUGCCCUGUACGGGGCAAGUCCCGUAGCUAACGCGUUAAGUCCUGCGCCUGGGGAGUACGGUCGCAAGGCUGAA